rnacentral:rRNA from 1 species
UACAGAGGGUGCGAGCGUUGUUCGGAAUUACUGGGCGUAAAGCGCGCGCAGGCGGCCUUUUAAGUCUGACGGUGAAAUGCCGGGGCUCAACCCCGUGCCCGCCGGAGAUACUGGGAGGCUGGAGACGAGUAGAGGCAAGCGGAAUUCCGGGUGUAGCGGUGGAAUGCGUAGAGAUCCGGAAGAACACCGGAGGCGAAGGCGGCUUGCUGGGCUCGGUCUGACGCUGAGGCGCGAAAGCGUGGGAGCGAACAGG